UACGGAGGAUGCAAGCGUUAUCCGGAUUCAUUGGGUUUAAAGGGUGCGUAGGCGGAAUGAUAAGUCAGUGGUGAAAGCCUGCGGCUUAACCGUAGAAAUGCCAUUGAUACUGUCAUUCUUGAGUAUAGUUGAGGUGGAUGGAAUGUGUAAAGUAGCGGUGAAAUGCUUAGAUAUUACACAGAACACCAAUUGCGAAGGCAGUUCACUAAACUAUUACUGACGCUGAGGCACGAAAGCGUGGGGAGCAAACAGG
rnacentral:rRNA from 1 species